rnacentral:lncRNA from 1 species
GGAUUUGCAUGGUCCAAUGCAGGACUUAGGUAUUAGAAGCUCCCCCCUAUUGAACUAUGGAUGCCUUGUUUACUAGGAUCAACUGUAAUUCUGAACCAUCAAAACAUCCUACAUUAAUGAACAGAAGUAGUAUUUCUUAGUGUAAUCUAACUAUAUCAAUUAGGAAAAGUUGUUGUUUCCAUGUGUCGCCAUCAUCUCCCACUUCAACUAUCAAUCCUCGAUGAACUUGGCCCGCCGUUGUCCUUGAGCACCCACGCUGUCCAUAUCCAGCUUCAUGUGGAGCUCCACUCUUUCAUUGUGUGAGCAAAACCUUGUUAGUAUAAUAGUAUAACAAAAGUAAUAUCAACAUAAUUGGGCAGGACGAUGAAUUUCUUCCCAGUUCGUAAUAUUACCCCUGCCAAUUAUUAUUUUUGAAACUGAGACAAAAGAUUUGCAUCAUAUAUUAAUUAAGAAGAGGAUAGAAUUUGUGUUACAAAACCAUACUACUAACUUACUAAGGCCUCACUCUCCCGGUAUGAUAGUUUCAAUUCUUUUGCUCCGGUCAAAAUCCAUAGUUUGAUCUAACAUCAAAUAUUGUUGAACACGAUGGAUUUGGUGUGCUUUUGUGCUCAAAGACACGGGUGUUCCGCUCCUUUCAAAUGGUCCAUCCCACAAGCAUUGUCAGGGAUGCCAUUGCCUCCCUGUAGGGCGUACAAUCGUCGGAUCUCUUGGACCACCAUUCACUAACGGAAUCCUCGAGAUGCCAAUCCGAAGUACCAAAGUCGGUAAAAUGAAGCGACCCAUUUAUCAAUUUCUAGAGUCCGAGCGUGAACCGGCAUUUGUAGAAGAGGUGUGACCCGGAUUUCUGAACCUGCUUGCAUAGUGGGCACAAGUCACAGUUAGGCCAUCUACCCUUGGCCAGGUGACCCCUGCCAAUAUCAUGUUGGCCAAGGUUUCGCAACAAAAGUAGGGAGGUUCACCUGAAGAUGGAUCUGGACAGCUUAGGCGCAUAAUAAAGGAAACGACAGACCAAGUUCGCGGAGGACUGGUAGUUGAUACGAUGGUCAUAUAUAGCACGUAUAGUAGAGUAAUGUCGAGGCAGCAUCAAUCGGCCGCACAUGCAUGUGACGCCUUCAAGGCACAGCUAGCUUCAGUUAUCCCAUCCCAUUCUUUUUCACCGUUUAAAACCUUGUUCAUGGCCACUGUCGACUGCGUGCGGCAGCACACGCACCAUCAACGCAAACGCAGUACCCUAGCUAGCUAGCAUCAUGUGGUGAUCAAUCGGGACCAGGCCAGCUAGGGCUAUACUGCGCGCCUUUGCAAUUAAGUUUCGGCCCGGAUCGAUCGAGGACGACCGGGUAGGUGCCAGUGGUUAUACUCAGCAGCUAAAUCUGUCACUGGGUCGUCUUCAUAUAUUACAUGUGUUCAACCCUAAUGACACUUUGAUUAGUAGCAAUUCACUACAGGUUUUGUACAAAUCCAUUGGAGCCAGCUGAACCCAAUGUCAUAGUGCUAGCUCCGCCCCUGAGCUCGAUCGUCAGAUCGACCGAUCAGAUCGACGAGAGGGCUGAUGAAACCCAGGAUGAGCAGGGCAGAGUUAAGGACUUUCAUGCAUGGCCAGCUUAAUUGACUUUCAUGCAGGGCAGAGUUAAGGACUUUCAUGCACGGCCGGUCUCACGUAUGUAUACGGACCAUGUGAUGUGAAUCGCGUGCAAUCAUUAGUUGAAAAUCAUUGGAUUUGUGAACUGGAUGUGUCCACGGACUGCGGGUCCAUAUAUACUAGCACUAGCUAGCUCGUUUGUUGCUAACUACGGAUGCUUAAUUGGCCUUGCAAUGUAGUAGUACGAGUAUGUACGUAGAGAGUGGAUCAGAGUACGUACGAUCCCAUGCACAGCUAUGUCCAGCCAACAAACAUGUGUCAUGUAUGGAUCAGGACCAUGUCAACACUGGAUGCAUGCAUGGCCAAAUCAUGCACAGUAUAUAUGUUGCUCAAAUUGCAUCAUCAUAGAAAUUGUACGCGUGCUUCAUCCUAUCCAUCUUCCUUGAACGAUGCCAUACGUGCGCCCUUUUCAGUCCGAUUUUCGUCCGACACUACCCAUCAAACCGUUCAUGCAAUGGGGCAAAUUACGGGGCACCAUCUGAUCACUCGUCGUACUCACGUCGUACGUGUACUUGUUUUGAUCUUCCUUGUCGAGCCCACGUGUCAACCUGAAGUAUGUCUCUUAAUCGCAUUUCUCGUUUUCUCUUAUAUAACUUGGCGGGAUUUUCCUGGUUUUCUACUCCCUCCGUUCCUAAAUAUAAGUCUUUUUAAAGAUUUCAUUAAU